UACGUAGGGGGCAAGCGUUGUCCGGAUUUAUUGGGCGUAAAGAGCGUGUAGGCGGUUUGGUAGGUCCGUUGUGAAAACUCGAGGCUCAACCUCGAGACGCCGGCGGAAACCAUCAGGCUAGAGUGCGGAAGAGGAGAGUGGAAUUCCUGGUGUAGCGGUGAAAUGCGCAGAUAUCAGGAAGAACACCCGUGGCUAAGGCGGCUCUCUAGUACGGUACUGACGCUGAGACGCGAAAGCGUGGGGAGCGAACAGG
rnacentral:rRNA from 1 species